rnacentral:rRNA from 1 species
UACGAAGGGGGCUAGCGUUGCUCGGAAUCACUGGGCGUAAAGGGUGCGUAGGCGGGUCUUUAAGUCAGGGGUGAAAUCCUGGAGCUCAACUCCAGAACUGCCUUUGAUACUGAGGAUCUUGAGUUCGGGAGAGGUGAGUGGAACUGCGAGUGUAGAGGUGAAAUUCGUAGAUAUUCGCAAGAACACCAGUGGCGAAGGCGGCUCACUGGCCCGAUACUGACGCUUAGGCACGAAAGCGUGGGGAGCAAACAGG